rnacentral:rRNA from 1 species
AUCUGGCUCAGGACGAACGCUGGCGGCGCGCCUAACACAUGCAAGUCGAACGAGAGAGAAGGAGCUUGCUUCUUCGAUCGAGUGGCGAACGGGUGAGUAACGCGUGAGGAACCUGCCUCAAAGAGGGGGACAACAGUUGGAAACGACUGCUAAUACCGCAUAAGCCCACGGGUCGGCAUCGACCUGAGGGAAAAGGAGCAAUCCGCUUUGAGAUGGCCUCGCGUCCGAUUAGCUGGUUGG